rnacentral:rRNA from 1 species
GAGGAAUAUUGGACAAUGGUCGGAAGACUGAUCCAGCCAUGCCGCGUGCAGGAUGACUGCCCUAUGGGUUGUAAACUGCUUUUGUACGAGAAGAACACCCUCUUCGUGAAGAGGACUGACGGUACCGUACGAAUAAGGACCGGCUAACUCCGUGCCAGCAGCCGCGGUAAUACGGAGGGUCCGAGCGUUAUCCGGAAUCAUUGGGUUUAAAGGGUCCGUAGGCGGGCUAUUAAGUCAGAGGUGAAAUUGUGCAGCUCAACUGUAGAACUGCCUUUGAUACUGAUAGUCUUGAGUUAUGGUGAGGUAGCCGGAACAUGUGGUGUAGCGGUGAAAUGCAUAGAUAUCACAUAGAACGCCGAUUGCGAAGGCAGGUUACCAACCAUAUACUGACGCUGAUGGACGAAAGCGUGGGGAGCGAACGGG